rnacentral:rRNA from 1 species
GAUGAACGCUGGCGGCGUGCCUAAUACAUGCAAGUCGAGCGAAUGGAUUAAGAGCUUGCUCUUAUGAAGUUAGCGGCGGACGGGUGAGUAACACGUGGGUAACCUGCCCAUAAGACUGGGAUAACUCCGGGAAACCGGGGCUAAUACCGGAUAACAUUUUGAACCGCAUGGUUCGAAAUUGAAAGUCGGCUUCGGCUGGCACGUAGGGAUGGACCCGCGUCGCAUUAGCUAGUUGGUGAGGUAACGGCUCACCAAGGCAACGAUGCGUAGCCGACCUGAGAGGGUGAUCGGCCACACUGGGACUGAGACACGGCCCAGACUCCUACGGGAGGCAGCAGUAGGGAAUCUUCCGCAAUGGACGAAAGUCUGACGGAGCAACGCCGCGUGAGUGAUGAAGGCUUUCGGGUCGUAAAACUCUGUUGUUAGGGAAGAACAAGUGCUAGUUGAAUAAGCUGGCACCUUGACGGUACCUAACCAGAAAGCCACGGCUAACUACGUGCCAGCCGCCGCGGUAA